GACGAACGCUGGCGGCGUGCUUAACACAUGCAAGUCGUACGGUAAGGCCCUUUCGGGGGUUCCCGGGUGGCGAACGGGUGAGUACCACGUGAGUAACCUGCCCACAACUUUGGGAUAACGCUAGGAAACUGGUGCUAAUACUGGAUAUGUGCUCCUGCUGCAUGGUGGGGGUUGGAAAGCUCCGGCGGUUGUGGAUGGACUCGCGGCCUAUCAGCUUGUUGGUGGGGUAGUGGCCUACCAAGGCGGCGACGGGUAGCCGGCCUGGGAGGGUGACCGGCCACAUGGGGACUGAGAUACGGCCCAGACGCCUACGGGAGGCAGCGGUGGGGAAUAUUGCACAAUGGGCGCGAGCCUGAUGCAGCAACGCCGCGUGCGGGAUGACGGCCUUCGGGUUGUAAACCGCUUUCAGCAGGGACGAAGCUUUUUGUGACGGUACCUGCAGAAGAAGCACCGGCUAACUACGUG
rnacentral:rRNA from 1 species